AAAAUAGUAGUAUAAUGUUAUUACUUCUGCCUUCCAAGUAGAGAAUCUAGUAAUUAGCUAUUUUA
rnacentral:tRNA from 1 species